GAUGAACGCUGGCGGCGUGCUUAACACAUGCAAGUCGAACGGAAAGGCUCCUGCUUGCAGGGGUACUCGAGUGGCGAACGGGUGAGUAACACGUGGGUGAUCUGCCCUGCACUUCGGGAUAAGCCUGGGAAACUGGGUCUAAUACCGGAUAGGACGAUGGUUUGGAUGCCAUUGUGGAAAGUUUUUCGGUGUGGGAUGAGCUCGCGGCCUAUCAGCUUGUUGGUGGGGUAAUGGCCUACCAAGGCGUCGACGGGUAGCCGGCCUGAGAGGGUGUACGGCCACAUUGGGACUGAGAUACGGCACAGACUCCUGCGGGGGACAGCAGUGGGGAAUAUUGCACAAUGGGCGCAAGCCUGAUGCAGCGGCGCCGCGUGGGGGGUGACGGCCUUCGGGGUGUAAACUCCUUUCGCGAGAGGCGAAGCGCAAGUGACGGUACCUGGAGAAGAAGCACCGGCUAACUACGUG
rnacentral:rRNA from 1 species